ensembl:lncRNA PDE6B-AS1 PDE6B antisense RNA 1
AGCAGCAGGGGUUUAACUCAAGCCUGACACAGGCAAACAUCCGACCAGCCCUUCCUCCGCCCGGCUGCUCCAGAACCACCUGCGGCGAGCAGGGCUUUGAGAACAUCGGGCCGUGGUUUCCGCACGUCAGGCCGCCUGUGGCCUCCGCCAAGCGUCUGAGAGUGAAGCAUUGCUGACGCACUCCACGAGGUCCUGGCCAGACCCCACUCAGGACAUCCCGCUGCACAGGCCCCUGGUUGCUGGGUCAGCGCUGCCACCAGGCUCAGACUCACCCCAGGGCCCUCCUUGGGCCACCUUUCUCUGCCUCCUUGGUCAAGGCCCAGACCCAGGCCCCACCAGGCCCUGCCUCCUCACACUCGCGGCGGCCGCUGGGUCUUCUACCGCAUGGUGCCAGCUCCCUCUCCUCCGCUGCGGUGUCCUAGCCCAGCUCUCUCCCUGCCAGGCCCUCUGAAGUUCCACCCCCUGGCACUCAGCUCAUGGUGGGAACAGGACCAGGCUCUCCUGUUGCCAAGGGCAGUGAGAUGUUCGUAGCUUUAUUUCCCAGUACAUUGAUUUUACUGAUUUUAGUUUAUCUUCAGUUGAAUAAUUGUGUGUAUUGAUGGGGUUUAUGUUUUAUGGGGUUUGGCGUGAUGUUCUG